rfam:Bosea sp. Root381 contig_5, whole genome shotgun sequence.
GACAAGGGGUUUAUCGCGACGACCCCGUGAGGCUUCGGCCCAAGGUUCGCGUCCAUGGUCCUCAAUUGAAGGGAUGGACGCCAUG